UGCCCCAUGGCUGAGUUGGUCACAGCGUCCGACUGUUACUGCGAGGCGUCACCUCAAAGUCAAACGUGAUCGGAAGGUCGUGAGUUCGAGCCUCACUGGGGCAG